UACGUAGGGCGCAAGCGUUAUCCGGAAUUAUUGGGGCGUAAAGAGCUCGUAGGCGGUCUGUCACGUCGGCUGUGAAAACCCGAGGCUCAACCUCGGGCCUGCAGUCGAUACGGGCAAACUAGAGUACUGCAGGGGGAGACUGGAAUUCCUGGUGUAGCGGUGAAAUGCGCAGAUAUCAGGAGGGAACACCGGUGGCGAAGGCGGGUCUCUGGGCAGUAACUGACGCUGGAGGAGCGAAAGCGUGGGGAGCGAACAGG
rnacentral:rRNA from 1 species